rnacentral:lncRNA from 1 species
GUAAAGCAAAAUUAGAUCAGGGUGAAAUUUGAUCCGGAGGAAAAAAUGUCACAGUAGUUGUUGUUAUUUCUUUAUAUGCUGCUGCAUACAUGUAUUGAUGGAAAUUUGGGCAAUAUUUAAAAGCAAAAACACAGGAACAGUCAUGUUUAUCACUCCAGCGCGAGAUCAUAGGAAUAAACUUGACUCAUUAAAAUUUAUUCGCCGUCUGGAUUUCUUUAAGGAAGGAGUUCCAGAGAACUUGAG